UGGGGAAUCAUGGUCAAUGGGCGAAAGCCUGAUGCAGCAACGCCGCGUGAGUGAUGAAGGCCUUCGGGUUGUAAAGCUCUGUCUUCUGGGACGAUAAUGACGGUACCAGAGGAGGAAGCCACGGCUAACUACGUGCCAGCAGCCGCGGUAAUACGUAGGUGGCAAGCGUUGUCCGGAUUUACUGGGCGUAAAGGAUGCGUAGGCGGAUACUUAAGUCAGAUGUGAAAAUCCCGGGCUUAACUUGGGAACUGCAUUUGAAACUGGGUAUCUAGAGUGCGGGAGAGNAAAGUGGAAUUCCUAGUGUAGCGGUGAAAUGCGUAGAGAUUAGGAAGAACACCAGUGGCGAAGGCGACUUUCUGGACCGUAACUGACGCUGAGGCAUGAAAGCGUGGGGAGCAAACA
rnacentral:rRNA from 1 species